UCACAUAAUACCAUAGCACAUGCAUGCAUAAUUAAAAUAGAUUUACAACCCCAUAAUCAAAAUAGGCCAACACAUAUGAUUAAAGCCAAUCACAUACUCUAAUAUUUAAACUCCUAUACAUGCCGGAGGCUCAAAGUACUUGAAAUCACUACACCAAUAGCGUUAGCUUGACAGUGUGAUAAUAUCUCUGACGGCCUCCAGCUCGAGCUAACUUGGAAACUCUAGAAAACAUGGAAAAGAAGAGGGGGGUAAGCUUUCGCUUAGUAAGUUCAUAUGAAAAUAAUAAGCACUCAUUAACUUGUUUUAUCAAUGUUUACAACAUAUUCUCAAGUUCACUACAAGCUGUCUUUCUGACCAAUGGUCACUAAAUUAUUUAUAUAUGGAGAUACGAAACUCCGAAUUAAGUUCCGUUAAUUUUCCCUGAAACUAGACUUAUUUUAAUUUCUUCCAUAAAAUUUUCAGAAUUUUUGGUUAAGCCAAAUAGUACAGUUUAUUUCUCAAAGUUACCCCUAAUUCACUGUCUGACAGUUCCGACCCUUUUGUACUAAGGUUCAAUUAUCUCAUAGUACAAGACUUGAAUAAUAUUCUCGUCUAUUUCUAUUGAAACUAGACUCAUAUGUAUACUUACUAAUUUUUUUCUAGAAUUUUUGGUCAAGCCAUUUAGUACAGUUUAUUAGUUAAAGUUUCCCCUAUUUCAGGGUAUGACUACUCUGACCCUUGUGCACUACAAACCGAAUUUGUUUUCCUUAAAAAUAUACUCAAUAAGGAAUCCAUGCAUGUAAGUUAUGACUCUUAAUAAUUUUUUUAAAAUUUAUGGUGAAUUUCUAAAGUCAGAACAUGGGAUCUUGAAUUCAUUCAGACCCUGUUUCACAAGAAUUCAAAUAUCACACAAUAUGGAAUUCUUUUUGUUCCCCUAUUUAUUUCAUGUGAAAAUAGACUCAUUAAGCUUUAAUCCCAUAUUUUAUUAUGCCUCUAACUCAUUUUACACUAUUUUUAGUGUAUUUUCAAAGUUACACUACUGCAGUAACUCAAAUCUGUCAAGGCUAAAUUACUCAUUCAUGAUCAUUGUUCACAAAAUUAAUACAACAUCGUUUGUAUAAUAUCACCGAGACAUUCAUAUCACAUUUUCAUUUACCAUCUUACCAUAUUGUUGUUAUGUUGAGUUUUCAACCCAAGGGUUAAGUACAUACCUGUUCAAAGUAUCCAUUUCACAACAUUUAUCAAUACAUCCCUUUCAUCUCGAGUAUUCCUCCAUUUGAGUAGAAUUUUACGUGUUGAACACAUCGGAAUAUAAUUCGGAUACAUGGAAAGUUUGCACAUAAGUGCCACAUAUGUAGCCAAGCUACCAUGUAACCCGCCCAUAAGUGAACUCGGACUCAACUCAACGAGCUCGGGCGUUCGCAUCCAUAAGUGAACUCGGACUCAACUCAACGAGCUCGGAUGCCUAGUUACAUCUCACGAACUCGGACUCAACUCAACGAGUUCGAACGUUCGCAUCCAUAAGUGAACUCGAACUCAACUCAACGAGUUCGGAUGCUCAACCAUCCUAGUGACAUGUCAUUUGUAUCCUAAUCUAUUCCUAAGGUUCAAACGGGAUUUUCCUCGAACACAUAUCCUUGCCAUCUUCCGUAAAAUAACAGAUAAUACACAUAACUUGCAUUUUAUUCGAAAAUAACCACAAAGCAUAUAUUUCAUGAUAAAAAUCAGCAUAUCAUAUAUUUAACAUCAAUAACUUAAAAAUAACAAUUAUGCUACAUUAUUUACACAUGAACUUACCUCGAUACCACAAAGGUGAAAAAAAAAACGUAAUUAUCCCUUAAUCGAUUUCUUUCCGUUCUAGGUCCAAAUCUCGAUUUUCAUCAUCUAAAAUAUCACAUUCAACUUAUUAAAACAAUGUACUGAUCAAAUUAGUCCACUGACACACUUGGGCAAUUUUUACAAUUUUGCCCCUAUAUUUUGCCAAAACUACCAGAUUACCCCUAGGCUCGUAAAAUAAUUUUUAUCACAUUUCUUUACUCUUGAGUCUAGAUGAACCAUUUUCAUAACUGUAGCAACUCAUAAUUUCAACUAUUUCACACAUUUACAACUCAUUUUACAACUUAGCAAUCUAGCCCUUUUUAAGGUGUUUUCAUGCAAUUUCUUUCAAAAAAGUUGUUUAUUAGACAACUAGGACUCAUAAUCUUCCAUAAAAAAUACAGAAAACAACACAUUUACUCUCAUGGAAAAACCCUAGACUCUUCAUCAUUUUGCAAAAUAGACCACUCAUAUGAAAGCUCAUGCUUUAGGGGUUCCAAAAAUGUAAAAAUCAUCAAGCAAAGACAUUAAAAUCACUUACAAGCAAGGGAAAUAUGUUUCUGAAAUUUUCCAGCUUCAAAGCCCUUUCUUUGCUGCAUAUUUCGG
rnacentral:lncRNA from 1 species